UCUUAUGCAAUAUGGCCUGAACUAACAUCUAGACUCUAUUGAUUCAAUAGAUCAACAGAUCAACCGAAACGUCUAUUAUUGAUAAAGGAUCCCAAGGCUUGAAAUUAUAACAUAUCGAGCUAGUUUCCAUUUCAUUGAUAUCGGUUCUUACUUCAAUAUAUACAGACAUUUUCAAAAUUGAUUUUUUUCAAUUUGAUGGGGAGCAUGGAUUUCGACAGGGACCUUUCAUUUGUCAAUUAAGUUCAAGACAAAGACAGUGUUCCAUCAGUUGCGUGCGGAUAUUCGAAUUUCCGGAUCAAUAGUCGACUUUCCCCUAGGUGUGACUUCAAGGCUCGUGUUAUCCGAUUUACAGCCAAUCCCCACCCAAGUCCAGUGAUCCUCAGAGUGAGAUUUGCAAGAUGGCCAAUCCCUCUCACUUCCAACUCACACACACAUGAAUGGCGAUUGAAGACGACAAUGUGGCGAAGGAAACGAAGAUCUUGUUCACCUGGCAUAAGUACAACUACUGAGGAAAAGACGAACGGGCCAGCAAAAGCCAGCCACUUUGGUCUCAAGGGAGUUUCUUUGAGGCGUGUGAAUAUGUUAAGGGAAAAUUAUGGAGACAGAAAGAAGCAAUAAAAAAGGUGGAACACAUUUUGGAGCAAAGUGAGAGAUGAAAGGCGAGAUGAAGCGACAUAUUUGGACUCGUUCGCAGCACCAUUACACCAAUCCAGCCAUGGCAGUAAAGCCAAAUGUUUUUUUGGUUGUGUUUGACCACAACUCUCAUUUAGAAUUCCGGAAAACUUACCAAAGGCCACACACAGCUCCAGUGGAAUAACAUACAAGUAUACAAGUGCUAAAGAGAGCAAGUGAAAUACACCUUGCCGAGGUGCCUGCUAGGAUACCAUCUUGAGUGCCUGGCAAUCCACAAAGAUCUUCAUAGGAAAAAAUCAUCUAAGGAGACAACGGCGUAUCAUUACGCUCAAGGCAGAAAACCUAUAAUACCCGAGGGAGACGGAACAUAUUGUGAAACAAAGCUUUUCCUCAAUUCACAUGAAAGUGCUGGAUUGCCAGUUCACAAUCCACAAAAGACCAUGAUGAACCAGUUAUCAGUUUCUUGUUCUUCAUCUUCACGUUCAGCCAAUGAAAGGACAACUCAAAGUAUGGACGCAGAUAGUAAGGAUUAGACUUUGGACAUUGAAUAGCUAUUCCUAGAAUGUGCUUUUCGAAUGGGACCACACCUGCUUGGUUCGUUCCAGUCUUCGACCAAGGAUAUCAACCCCGGCACUGUCCAUCCAUUACGGGAAACGUUCAUGGCGAAAAGAGGUAUGAAUGAACUUUGGGACGAAGUAUUCCGGGGUAACGACGACCUUGAAUGUGAAUUUGACCUGACACGCAGUUGACUUUCAGUCAUUUGUAGUCGACUCUCUAACAUCCAGACAAGGUGAGCUCAUCUUAGGUGGCUAAAAUUCAUUCAUCUCGCGAGAAAACAGGAAAACUUUCACUUAGGAAGUCUGUGUUUUAAAAAAGCUGAAAUGGAAGCCGAGGCUUCCAAGUGGAACGUGGCACUCAAGAGAAUAACAAAUGAAGACAAAUGCCUUGAAAGAGCGCCAUUGUCAUUUGCCUUCCGUCUGAUGGCCUCAAGUACAUGCCUUCCACUGAUGCUUCAUUGGAUGCAAUUCACACCCAAGAAAUAAAUAAAAAAAGAUGAUGUUGAGUAUGGUGUCCUUAAUCGUACAAUGCUAAGG